UACGUAGGGUGCGAGCGUUAAUCGGAAUUACUGGGCGUAAAGCGUGCGCAGGCGGCUUUGCAAGACAGAUGUGAAAUCCCCGGGCUCAACCUGGGAACCGCAUUUGUGACUGCAAGGCUAGAGUACGGCAGAGGGGGAUGGAAUUCCGCGUGUAGCAGUGAAAUGCGUAGAUAUGCGGAGGAACACCAAUGGCGAAGGCAAUCCCCUGGGCCUGUACUGACGCUCAUGCGCGAAAGCGUGGGGAGCAAACAGG
rnacentral:rRNA from 1 species